UCCUAGGUCAGAUGUAAUAACCCAGUAUUUUGGUAGUUUUAGUGUUACCCAGAUCCUGGGUCAGACAUAACAACCCAGGGGUUGAGUUAUUUAUCGCAGGCUUUUUGCGACCUCUUCAGGAGAGAGCAGUGCGGAUUCGUCAAAUUGGUGCAUGUCUUCAGUAAAAUACAGGUCUCAGAGGUCUUCAUCGCUGCUCCACAGAUCAGAGCAAACAGCCGCUGUGUGCUGGUGUCUGGAGUUAUGAGAUGGAUAUGGGAGGAGGGGGCGAAUGAAAAGUGAUUGAGAUACACAAGGGUCCUGCCGUCACCGCCAUGCUGUGAAACAACAGGAGGUCAAUUCUUCAAAUCUCGGAUGCAAUCUCAAGAACAGGGCUAUAAACAUUUACCAGAGAUAAUGGCUAAUGCUACAUUUCCAUCCUGAAAUAUCAGCCGUGGCAUUUGCUGUCAGCUCCACUGAGGACGCAAGCUUGAAUGGGCAGGUAAAGCAAACGAGGUCUUUGAAACGCACACAGCCAGGAGUCAGUGAGCAACACAGUUGGACAAUGGGAUGAGAUGCGUGGAGAUCAGAUUUCCUUCAUGUUUGUUUUCUUAGGAUAAGGUAUGCCCUGGCAAAGAAAAUAUUGGCCUUCCUCGUGGCCAUCUGUCGAAUGUGGUGGAAUCUCUAAAAAAGCCUAAUGCUAAUUUGUUUUAUCAUGCACAUGGCUUGAAAAGAGCAGACACCCUCUUGACUGUUUCAUUAAACUGCCUUCCCCCCAAAUCAGACCUAUCUGACCAUAUUCAUAUACUAUUCAAAACAUGGUUUGGGGUUGCUGGAUUUGGAUACACAUGCUUUUUGACCGAGCCACUGAUUUGCAUUCAUCCAAGGUGGUUUACUUCAAAUCGUCUCUCUGGCUGAGAGUGGUUUCCUUCAGCAUUUAUUACAGUAUGCGAGAAAAAUGAGCAAAAUGUGAAACCGUUUCUCUGUAUGGAACAUAAAAAAAAAUAACUGGGAACUGAGAGACCAAGCUUAAAAUAAUAUUGUGAAAUAUAACAUCACAUAAAAUGGCACAAUUGUA